GACGGGGGGUCCUAGCGUUGUUCGGAAUCAUUGGGCGUAAAGCGUGUGCAGGUGGUUUGGUAAGUUGGAUGUGAAAGCCCCGGGCUUAACCCGGGAAGGGCAUUCAAAACCACCAAACUUGAGUAGGGAAGAGGGUCGUGGAAUUCCAGGUGUAGUGGUGAAAUACGUAGAUAUCUGGAGGAACACCGGUGGCGAAGGCGGCGACCUGGUCCUAUACUGACACUCAUACACGAAAGCGUGGGGAUCAAACAGG
rnacentral:rRNA from 1 species